GUUAAGCGACUAAGCGUACACGGUGGAUGCCCUGGCAGUCAGAGGCGAUGAAGGGCGUGCUAAUCUGCGAUAAGCGCCGGUAAGGUGAUAUGAACCGUUAUAACCGGCGAUACCCGAAUGGGGAAACCCAGUGUGAUUCGUCACACUAUCAUUAACUGAAUCCAUAGGUUAAUGAGGCGAACCGGGGGAACUGAAACAUCUAAGUACCCCGAGGAAAAGAAAUCAACCGAGAUUCCCCCAGUAGCGGCGAGCGAACGGGGAGGAGCCCAGAGCCUGAAUCAGCAUGUGUGUUAGUGGAAGCGUCUGGAAAGGCGCGCGAUACAGGGUGACAGCCCCGUACACAAAAGCGCAUGUGCUGUGAGCUCGAUGAGUAGGGCGGGACACGUGGUAUCCUGUCUGAAUAUGGGGGGACCAUCCUCCAAGGCUAAAUACUCCUGACUGACCGAUAGUGAACCAGUACCGUGAGGGAAAGGCGAAAAGAACCCCGGCGAGGGGAGUGAAAAAGAACCUGAAACCGUGUACGUACAAGCAGUGGGAGCCCCACCACUAAGCCAGUGGUGAACUCCACAUACGCAUCCUUUGCUGAGGAGACGGUUAACGGAGCGAAAGCGACGUUCAACCUCAAAACAAGCAGAGGGGGCUUAGUGGUGGGGUGACUGCGUACCUUUUGUAUAAUGGGUCAGCGACUUAUAUUCUGUAGCAAGGUUAACCGAAUAGGGGAGCCGGAGGGAAACCGAGUCUUAAUUGGGCGUUAAGUUGCAGGGUAUAGACCCGAAACCCGGUGAUCUAGCCAUGGGCAGGUUGAAGGUUGGGUAACACUAACUGGAGGACCGAACCGACUAAUGUUGAAAAAUUAGCGGAUGACCUGUGGCUGGGGGUGAAAGGCCAAUCAAACCGGGAGAUAGCUGGUUCUCCCCGAAAGCUAUUUAGGUAGCGCCUCGUGAAUUCAUCUCCGGGGGUAGAGCACUGUUUCGGCUAGGGGGCCAUCCCGGCUUACCAACCCGAUGCAAACUGCGAAUACCGGAGAAUGUUAUCACGGGAGACACACGGCGGGUGCUAACGUCCGUCGUGAAGAGGGAAACAACCCAGACCGCCAGCUAAGGUCCCAAAGUCAUGGUUAAGUGGGAAACGAUGUGGGAAGGCCCAGACAGCCAGGAUGUUGGCUUAGAAGCAGCCAUCAUUUAAAGAAAGCGUAAUAGCUCACUGGUCGAGUCGGCCUGCGCGGAAGAUGUAACGGGGCUAAACCAUGCACCGAAGCUGCGGCAGCGAACGUAUCACUUAAAGCGAUUCAGCGGGUUACGAUUGACGGAGCGAAGCGACGUCAAAGCGUAUACAAAGUCGAGUCGGUUUAAGGAUACGUUCGUUGGGUAGGGGAGCGUUCUGUAAGCCUGUGAAGGUGGCCUGUGAGGGUUGCUGGAGGUAUCAGAAGUGCGAAUGCUGACAUAAGUAACGAUAAAGCGGGUGAAAAGCCCGCUCGCCGGAAGACCAAGGGUUCCUGUCCAACGUUAAUCGGGGCAGGGUGAGUCGACCCCUAAGGCGAGGCCGAAAGGCGUAGUCGAUGGGAAACGGGUUAAUAUUCCCGUACUUGGUGUUACUGCGAAGGGGGGACGGAGAAGGCUAUGUUGGCCGGGCGACGGUUGUCCCGGUUUAAGCGUGUAGGUGUGUGUUCCAGGUAAAUCCGGUUCACUUUAACACUGAGGCGUGAUGACGAGGCACUACGGUGCUGAAGCAACAAAUGCCCUGCUUCCAGGAAAAGCCUCUAAGCAUCAGGUAACAUCAAAUCGUACCCCAAACCGACACAGGUGGUCAGGUAGAGAAUACCAAGGCGCUUGAGAGAACUCGGGUGAAGGAACUAGGCAAAAUGGUGCCGUAACUUCGGGAGAAGGCACGCUGACACGUAGGUGAAGUGAUUUACUCAUGGAGCUGAAGUCAGUCGAAGAUACCAGCUGGCUGCAACUGUUUAUUAAAAACACAGCACUGUGCAAACACGAAAGUGGACGUAUACGGUGUGACGCCUGCCCGGUGCCGGAAGGUUAAUUGAUGGGGUCAGCGCAAGCGAAGCUCCUGAUCGAAGCCCCGGUAAACGGCGGCCGUAACUAUAACGGUCCUAAGGUAGCGAAAUUCCUUGUCGGGUAAGUUCCGACCUGCACGAAUGGCGUAAUGAUGGCCAGGCUGUCUCCACCCGAGACUCAGUGAAAUUGAACUCGCUGUGAAGAUGCAGUGUACCCGCGGCAAGACGGAAAGACCCCGUGAACCUUUACUAUAGCUUGACACUGAACAUUGAGCCUUGAUGUGUAGGAUAGGUGGGAGGCUUUGAAGUGUGGACGCCAGUCUGCAUGGAGCCGACCUUGAAAUACCACCCUUUAAUGUUUGAUGUUCUAACGUGGACCCGUAAUCCGGGUUGCGGACAGUGUCUGGUGGGUAGUUUGACUGGGGCGGUCUCCUCCUAAAGAGUAACGGAGGAGCACGAAGGUUGGCUAAUCCUGGUCGGACAUCAGGAGGUUAGUGCAAUGGCAUAAGCCAGCUUGACUGCGAGCGUGACGGCGCGAGCAGGUGCGAAAGCAGGUCAUAGUGAUCCGGUGGUUCUGAAUGGAAGGGCCAUCGCUCAACGGAUAAAAGGUACUCCGGGGAUAACAGGCUGAUACCGCCCAAGAGUUCAUAUCGACGGCGGUGUUUGGCACCUCGAUGUCGGCUCAUCACAUCCUGGGGCUGAAGUAGGUCCCAAGGGUAUGGCUGUUCGCCAUUUAAAGUGGUACGCGAGCUGGGUUUAGAACGUCGUGAGACAGUUCGGUCCCUAUCUGCCGUGGGCGCUGGAGAACUGAGGGGGGCUGCUCCUAGUACGAGAGGACCGGAGUGGACGCAUCACUGGUGUUCGGGUUGUCAUGCCAAUGGCACUGCCCGGUAGCUAAAUGCGGAAGAGAUAAGUGCUGAAAGCAUCUAAGCACGAAACUUGCCCCGA
rnacentral:rRNA from 1 species